rnacentral:rRNA from 1 species
AUACAGGGGGUGCAAGCGUUGUUCGGAAUUACUGGGCGUAAAGGGAGCGUAGGUGGAUCUACAAGACAGUGGUUAAAUCUCCGGGCUCAACCUGGAACUUGCCUUUGUGACUGUGGAUCUUGAGUAUGGUAGAGGUAGGCGGAAUUCCGAGUGUAGCGGUGAAAUGCGUAGAUAUUCGGAGGAACACCAGUGGCGAAGGCGGCCUACUGGGCUCUAACUGACGCUGAGGCUCGAAAGUGUGGGGAGC